CCCCAAAGUGUUGAGUUCAGUUCAGAGCAGCUUCCCUGUUCCAUUAAUUAAACUUUGGGACAUUGAAAGUGGCUAAGGGAANUGACUAAAUAGAGAAUAUUACUCUCUUCAUAUACUUCCUAGUUUACACCA
rnacentral:snoRNA from 1 species